CUCAACCGGUGGAGGACCUGGGAAACCACUGGGCUGGAGUGCCGGAGAGGGAAGCGGAAUUCCCGGUGGAGCGGUGAAAUGCGUAGAGAUCGGGAGGAACACCGGAGGCGAAGGCGGCUUUCUGGACGGACACUGACGCUGAGGCGCGAAAGCCAGGGGAGCGAACGGGAUUAGAUACCCCGGUAGUCCUGGCCCUAAACGAUGGGUACUUGGUGUGGGGGGUGAGACAGUCCCUCCGUGCCGGAGGCAAACGCGUUAAGUACCCCGCCUGGGGAGUACGGCCGCAAGGCUGAAACUCAAAGGAAUUGACGGGGGCCCGCACAAGCGGUGGAGCAUGUGGUUUAAUUCGACGCAACGCGAAGAACCUUACCGGGGUUUGAACUGCCGUGGCCAGGCGCAGAGAUGCGUUGUCCCCUUCGGGGGCGG
rnacentral:rRNA from 1 species